rnacentral:rRNA from 1 species
CUACGGGUGGCUCCAGUCGAGAAUCAUUCGCAAUGCGCGAAAGCGUGACGAUGCGACGCUGCGUGGAGGAUGAAGGCCCUCGGGUCGUAAACUCCUGUCAGGAGGGAAAAGCCGGCACUUGGUCAAUACCCUUGUGCCCCGAUGGUACCUCCAGAGGAAGCCACGGCUAACUCUGUGCCAGCAGCCGCGGUAAUACAGAGGUGGCGAGCGUUGUUCGGAUUUACUGGGCGGAAAGGGUGCGUAGGCGGCGUGCAAAGCUGGAUGUGAAAUCCCGGGGCUCAACCCCGGAACUGCAUCCGGAACUGGCAUGCUAGAGACCAGGAGGGGAGAGCAGAAUUCUAGGUGUAGCGGUGAAAUGCGUUGAUAUCUAGAAGAAUACCGGUGGCGAAGGCGGCUCUCUGGAAUGGUUCUAACGCUGAGGCACGAAAGCGUGGGGAGCAAACAGGAUUAGAUACCCUUGUAGUC